rnacentral:rRNA from 1 species
UGGUGGCGAGUGGCGAACGGGUGAGUAAUACAUCGGAACGUGUCCUGGAGUGGGGGAUAGCCCGGCGAAAGCCGGAUUAAUACCGCAUACGCUCUGAGGAGGAAAGCGGGGGAUCCUUCGGGACCUCGCGCUGCAGGGGCGGCCGAUGGCAGAUUAGCUAGUUGGUGGGGUAAAGGCCUACCAAGGCGACGAUCUGUAGCUGGUCUGAGAGGACGACCAGCCACACUGGGACUGAGACACGGCCCAGACUCCUACGGGAGGCAGCAGUGGGGAAUUUUGGACAAUGGGCGCAAGCCUGAUCCAGCAAUGCCGCGUGUGUGAAGAAGGCCUUCGGGUUGUAAAGCACUUUUGUCCGGAAAGAAAACCUCCUGGUUAAUACCUGGGGGGGAUGACGGUACCGGAAGAAUAAGCACCGGCUAACUACGUGCCAGCAGCCGCGGUAAUACGUAGGGUGCAAGCGUUAAUCGGAAUUACUGGGCGUAAAGCGUGCGCAGGCGGUUCGCUAAGACAGAUGUGAAAUCCCCGGGCUUAACCUGGGAACUGCAUUUGUGACUGGCGGGCUAGAGUAUGGCAGAGGGGGGUAGAAUUCCACGUGUAGCAGUGAAAUGCGUAGAGAUGUGGAGGAAUACCGAUGGCGAAGGCAG